AUACGGAGGGUGCAAGCGUUAAUCGGAAUUACUGGGCGUAAAGCGCGCGUAGGCGGCUUUGUAAGUCGGAUGUGAAAGCCCCGGGCUCAACCUGGGAAUUGCAUUCGAUACUGCAGAGCUAGAGUAUGGUAGAGGCAAGUGGAAUUCCGGGUGUAGCGGUGAAAUGCGUAGAUAUUGGGAAGAACACCAGUGGCGAAGGCGGCUAUCUGGACCGGUACUGACGCUGAGGUGCGAAAGCGUGGGGAGCAAACAGGAUUAGAAACCCCAGUAGUCC
rnacentral:rRNA from 1 species